GACGAACGCUGGCGGCGUGCCUAAUACAUGCAAGUCGAGCGCAGGAAACUGACGGAACUCUUCGGAGGGAAGGCAGCGGAAUGAGCGGCGGACGGGUGAGUAACACGUAAGGAACCUGCCUCAAGGAUUGGGAUAACUCCGAGAAAUCGGAGCUAAUACCGGAUAGUUCAUCGGACCGCGUGGUCCGCUGAUGAAAGGCGCUCCGGCGUCACCUUGAGAUGGCCUUGCGGUGCAUUAGCUAGUUGGUGGGGUAACGGCCCACCAAGGCGACGAUGGCAGGCCGACCUGAGAGGGUGGUCGGCCACACGGGGACUGAGACACGGCCCAGACUCCUACGGGAGGCAGCAGUAGGGAAUCUUCCACAAUGGACGAAAGUCUGAUGGGGCGAUGCCGCGUGAAUGAUGAAGGUCUUCGGAUUGUAAAGUUCUGUUGUAAGGGAAGAAAAAGAAUGAUAGGAAAUGAUCAUUAAUUGACGGUACCUUACCAGAAAGCCACGGCUAACUACGUGCCAGCCGCCGCAGUAA
rnacentral:rRNA from 1 species